rnacentral:rRNA from 1 species
GAUGAACGCUGGCGGCGUGCCUAAUACAUGCAAGUCGAGCGAAUCAAUAGGAGCUUGCUCCUGUUGGUUAGCGGCGGACGGGUGAGUAACACGUGGGCAACCUGCCUGUAAGACUGGGAUAACACCGGGAAACCGGUGCUAAUACCGGAUAAUCCUUUUCCUCUCAUGAGGAAAAGCUGAAAGUCGGUUUCGGCUGACACUUACAGAUGGGCCCGCGGCGCAUUAGCUAGUUGGUGAGGUAACGGCUCACCAAGGCGACGAUGCGUAGCCGACCGGAGAGGGUGAUGGGCCACACUGGGACUGAGACACGGCCCAGACUCCUACGGGAGGCAGCAGUAGGGAAUCUUCCACAAUGGACGAAAGUCUGAUGGAGCAACGCCGCGUGAGCGAUGAAGGCCUUCGGGUCGUAAAGCUCUGUUGUUAGGGAAGAACAAGUACCGGAGUAACUGCCGGUACCUUGACGGUACCUAACCAGAAAGCCACGGCUAACUACGUGCCAGCCGCCGCAGUAAGAC